rnacentral:lncRNA from 1 species
CACUUGUAAUCCCAGCUACUCGGGAGGCUGAGGCAGGAGAGUCAGUUGAUCCCAGGAGGCAGAGGUUGCAAUGAGCUGAGAUGGCGCCGCUGCACUCCAGCCUGGGCGACAGAGCGAGAAUACGUCUCAAAAAACAAAACAAAACAAAAAAGUGUUAUUUAUAGGAAUAAGAACUAAAAUGCCUUGUUAAUAUAUUGUUUUGGCAUUGCCAAAUUUAGCCUAUUUGAGUGCAUGGAUUGCAUUUGGGGAUUGCUGUUUUCUUUUGUGUUUUGUAUGUUUGCUUCAGAUGCGUAGACAGAGGGAGUGGAGUAAGGCUUUACAGAGAUUACUGCAGAAGGCAUUUUUUUUUUUCCAUAAAGAGGGGAAAACGCACCCAUCUCAUAACAAGAAUUUGGAGUCAAAACGAGACAGAUUCCAUUCCUGCCUUCCACAUUAAUUAGCUAGGUGACUUUGGGCAAAUCACUUAACCUCUAGGUUUUCUCAUCAGCAGAAUGAAAGCGUUGGCCUAUAGACACCCACUUAAAUCCCUCCUCCAAAUAUUCAUUCGUUCGAUAUUUUCGCAGUGUCUACUAAGCACAAUCAUUGUUAAUAAACACUAUGAUUCUUGGAGAGCUCCAAA